UGUGGGUGAACUUGCUGUUUUCCCUUCCUGUUGUACCUAAUGGUCUCUUUGUCCUCUUGUCCCUCUCUGGGUUUCCACCAGAGGGCAGAACCAACCCACCUAAUUCCCAGCUUGCAGCUCUCUUCUUCAGUGUUCCAGAUGAAACUUUGGAUUUCUUUCAAAUGGUUGGGAUUUCAUCACUCCGAGAAUUGUUGCUGAGGGUGCCCACAGCCAAGCUUCGAGUUAGAGCGCCGCUCUGCUAUUCAUCCUUUCUGUGCCUUGGAGAGGUCUCUGGUUUCUCCCUCUGGGCAGCAAGUUUUCAUCCUUGUAGAAUAGGCCUUUUGGGUGACUGGCUGCCUGGAAAAAGAGUAAAAAGAUGCUCAAUAAAGCCACUUGUUUGGGGGAUCAGGCACGAGUAUGAAAGUCCACUUGUAUGUGUUCUUUCCACCCACUCUACCGUCCACCUGGAAGGUAAACUAUUUCCCUUGUUCAUUGACUUGUCUCAUGUUAGAACAGUGACCAGCAAGCAC
rnacentral:lncRNA from 1 species